AGAGUUUAGAUCGUGGCUCAGAACGAACGCUGGCGGCAUGCCUAACACAUGCAAGUCGAACGGGAUCCGAGCUUCGGUUCGGUGAGAGUGGCGGACGGGUGAGUAACGCGUGGACUGCCCAGUGGUGGGGGAUAACUGCGGGAAACUGCAGCUAAUACCGCAUGAGCCCCGAGAGGGGGAAAGAUUUAUCGCCAUUGGAGGGGCCCGCGUUCGAUUAGGUAGUUGGUGAGGUAAAGGCUCACCAAGCCGACGAUCGAUAGCUGGUCUGAGAGGAUGAUCAGCCACACUGGGACUGAGAUACGGCCCAGACUCCUACGGGAGGCAGCAGUGGGGGAAUAUUGGACAAUGGGGGCAACCCUGAUCCAGCAAUGCCGCGUGAGUGAUG
rnacentral:rRNA from 1 species